GGUCAAAUUGGAAAUUCUGUCUAAAGAAGUGAAAUUCAGAAUUGAUACAGGCGCAAAGUGUAACAUAUUGACUCUAAAUAGCUACCAGUUGCUUGCCCACACAGGUGAGCUGCAGCGCUCUGAGACAGUCCUCCGCUCAUACUCCAAUCACCGGCUAAGGCCUGUAGCUGCUGUUAAUCUACAAGUCAAGUCAAAAAAGUGUAAAGAGACCACAGUGUUUGAAAUUUGGACAUCGCUCAAGAGAAUGUGCUCAGUGGUGCUUCAGCUGAAGCGUUGGGGCUGAUUGUGCGCCUUGACUUACUGGAGAGUGAUGCAGAUAGACGCUACACACGAAACCCUGACAAUACUGAAACACAGCGUAUUCCUGCUGGACUUCUUAAGUUCCCAGAGCUGACGCGCACCACUGGAACCAUGCCAGUGUUCUUCACUCGCACCCAUCAACUCCCCGUAUCCUCCCUACUAUCUCCUUCUCCCGGUCCAGAAGGUGGAUCCAUACAUGGAGCGCAGGCCAUCAGACGUCCACCCUGGGGCUACAG
ensembl:lncRNA